rnacentral:tRNA from 1 species
UUGAGGAUUUAGCUCAGUGGCAAAGCGUUUGCCUAGCACGCUAAAGGCCCUGAGUUUGGUCCUCAGUCCUGGAA